rnacentral:lncRNA from 1 species
ACAAAACUGCCUUUUCUCUGAAGAUUCAAGCUUACAUGAAACUGAAAAUUAUUCCAAGGAGGUAAUGGAUAAAGAACAAGGGAUAGCCACUUGACCUUACUGACAUGGACCCGUUGUUUUGUUUUCUUCUUUGCUGCAUCAGAAAUCAGUUAUUUUGAGGCAAGAAUAGAAUACAACAUACAUCAAGUAGAAGUAAGAAUAUCUGAUCUGGAUCCAGUUAAAUAGCACAGCAGAUAAACCUCAAGAGUUUUUCUGGUCUUACAUGACAGUUUCUGUGUGGAAAGAUCUCAGUUUUCUUGGACUCAAUUAGUCACUGAAAAAGAAUGUUGCUCCUAUGGAACCAGUAAUUCCCAGUCCUUAACUUUCAAACCAGGUCCAAGAAAUAUAGUGUGUUAGAGUUACUUUGGUCUAGUAUUUCCAUGUUGGCAAAAUAAGACUUAUUAGUUAAACUUUCUUGUUAAGAUUUGAAGAAAAACACUGACCUGAACAU